GGGCUCAGCGCGCGCUAAGCGCGCGCUCGGUCGUCUCGCGUUGGCGAUUUCUCCAUUCAGUCAAGUUCUCUCGAGGCGGCUGUGCAGUCUACGCUCUCUGGCACUGAGCUGGGGACUUGCCGAGGUGACCGCGCACUGGGAUUCACCGGGACAGACAAGCACAGCGAGGACAGCGUGUGCAGCAGCGCGUGGACCAGGGACUGUUUCAAGUGGAUGGAGAAGAACAGUCCACUUAAAGAAUACUGUCCAGGACAGACACUGGCCACUCCGUUCAGCAUUGGGUCCAAUAUUUAAAGCUAGUGCAGGGGAAGGUAGAAGCUUCUCAAGGGCAAGGACAGUGUGUCCACGCGUGGUCAGUGUCUGCCACAAGGGCUCUGCGAUGACCUCUCUCUGAUGCUACAGAAUCUGCUGUAUUGGCUGAACUGCCCUGCAGGAACUCCACUCCUCUCUGCCAGAGCCCAAGGGGCUGCUCCUGAGUCUAACGGUUCUAAUGAGACACGGAGCUGGCACAACAAAGGGCAGGAGCCUCCUGAGCAGGAGGCUGCCUAACGAGCUGUUGCCACGGCACUUAGACUCAUCAGGGGCCAUUACAGAGGCAGCCAGCACGUCUCCCAGGAAGAGUGUAGCAGGAAGAAGCCAAACAAACAGACACCACAGCCAGUGCUGCGGCCAUAGGCGGUGCCACUGAGCAAGGAGUUAGGGCCUGGGAGCCUCAGCAUGGAAUGUCUUCACUCACCUCCUCAGCGGAUCACUGAGCUCCGCCUGAAACAGUGCAGACACUCGGUGCCGGCAGGCAGGGGGCAGGCCCUGUGAUCCCAGGCCCUUCCCCUCCUCUGACCUCACAGUGUUCCCACAAUAGGGACCCAUGAUACUUGAUACAUGACGGCGAGCAUUCGCCAAAGGAGAAAUCUGUCUCUGCUUUUUUUAUUCUUGUAACUCUGAUAUUGGUAUCAUCAUUCCUCUGGGAAUUAGAUUCAGUAGAGUAGCCACUCAGCAUUCGGGUUGCUAUGGGACAUUUUCCUCUCUGAACUCAAAAAUAAACAGUCCCUGAAAACAACAGGAAGGUCUCACAGAACUCAGCACUUUGAAAACGAAUAUCUAAUAAUAUAAAUGUAACAUUUUUAGUUAGAAAACUCUAUCAUCAAAGUAAUUUGAACUGGUUGCUCUAAUAGAACUGAGUCGUCUAAAUAAACCACAGCUCUGUGAUGGGUGUGAUGGUGCCAAGGGCUGGAGGGGGCGCUUCUCCCCAGUCUCAGUCCAGAGGAUUUAAAAAUCAGAAGUAUGUGCACCCAACUCACCCCUUGAGUGAGUAUCACUGGGAUUUGCAAAGUACAGAGACGUAGAGGAGCAUCAACGAAAGUCACCCAGGAUCCCAACGCCAGAGAGAACCAGUGACACACCUGGCAAAGGGGCAUCAGAAACAGCCUGUCCACAGGGGAGGAGGGCUGGCUCCGUCACACCCGCACUCGAAGGGGGACUGAGGCCCUGCUUGAGGACAAGAGCUUUUCCUUUAUACAGAAGGGCCUUGGCUUCGUUCUUGCCUCGCCCUGCAGCCUGUCGCAAAGAUGAAGAGACCCGUCGUGGGUGUGGACCUGGCCUCUCUCACCCUCGCUCCAUCUGCUCCUGGCUUCUCUACUCAGAUAUAAAUUUACUGUGUUUACACCAAGAAGCCUAUGUUUUAAGUCCACAGAAAACAAGCAAAUAGUACAAAUCAUAAAGGACAUCAAAGCAUCUACUCACAGGGGAUUUGGAGCCCCUGUGGGGCUGUGUGGCUUUCCCCCUUUACCUUCAAAAACAAAUGGAGCCCGCCCUAAGCUGAGUUGGGCAGGGAAAGGUCAUCUACAAAUGGGCUAGCAAAGAUGGCCCAAUACUGAAUAUCCAGGCCUCCCAAGCAGAAGAGAAUUUCCUUAAAAAGGAAUCUCUGCCCUGCCAUGUUUGAUGGCUGGUCCCUGUACCAGUGAAUCCAGGCCAUGUCAACCUCCAAAGACGCCCCACUCCAUCAGGUUAAAAACCAAGGGCCUUCCACUGGCCUCAAAUCCCCAGGAUCUACCCCAUCCUCUGUCUCAUCCACCUCCGUGUCCCCUGCACCUUGCCCAGGCUCAUCGACACUCUUCCCUCGGCCUGGAUCUUUCAUCCACAGGCUCUGGGCCUGCCAGCCUCUCUGCCUCCACCCCUCCAGCACAUCACUGUGACCCCGAUGCUUUUGUCUGUCAUGAUGCUUCCUCACCUUCUGAGGUGAUCCCCUUAGAUUAGGUCUUUCUAUGUCUGUCUGUCUCCCCCUCUAGCAUGAAAACUCUGGUAAGAGGGCAGGGCUUUUUGUCCUUUGCUCACUGCUGCAUCCCCAGUGCCUAGAACAUUGCCUGACAUAGAACAGGUGUUGAAAAACAAACAAAAAAAAAACGUGUGGAGUGAAUGGCUCUCCCGCAAGUCACACAGGCACUUAAAAGUGGGGCAGGAAGAGAGCAGCUUAGCCUCUCAAGGUGUUUUAUCAACAAAUGCACCUGUGGUAAGAAAGUAGCGAUAUUGUUGGGAGCUGCCUCAGUUGCGUUACAAUGUUGAAAAAGGAAGAGUGUUCUGGAUUGAAAGAGGAUCCUGGAAUAUGCAGUUCUAGGUCCCCGUGGUCAAUCAAUCAAAGGUGGUUUCAAUUGUAUUUUUUUCUGCCAAGUUCCAGUAGCCAGUGAUAGGGACCAAUAUUGAAAUCAUUAUUUUAUGACUUGACUUUAUUUUCUUUAAUCAUGGGCUGACUCCCAACAAUACUUGAAUCUAACAGAUUAAUCUUAACGCGAUGACUACAAAUGGGAGAGAGGAAAUCAUAAUGUAGGGAGAGUGGCACAAAGCUGGAAGGCCAUUUGGAAAUUGUGCUAAAGCACUAGAGUCUUUGCAUUAGCUAUUUUUUAAGUAAUAAACUAAGAAAACACUAAGA